CUAGCGACUUCAGAGUUUGAUCCUGGCUCAGAUUGAACGCUGGCGGCAGGCCUAACACAUGCAAGUCGAGCGGAUGACGGGAGCUUGCUCCUUGAUUCAGCGGCGGACGGGUGAGUAAUGCCUAGGAAUCUGCCUGGUAGUGGGGGACAACGUUUCGAAAGGAACGCUAAUACCGCAUACGUCCUACGGGAGAAAGCAGGGACCUUCGGGCCCUUGCGCUAUCAGAUGAGCCUAGGUCGGAUUAGCUAGUUGGUGGGGUAAUGGCUCACCAAGGCGACGAUCCGUAACUGGUCUGAAAGGAUGAUCAGCCACACUGGAACUGAGACACGGUCCAG
rnacentral:rRNA from 1 species